GUCAUUAUUGUUUUGAGAUAAGCUAUUUGGGGUGUAGAGCACUUUAUUAUGGGGACAGAACGCAGAUUCUAUAAAUAGUAUAAAGUCUGCUAUUGACAAUAGCUCACUAACAAAUACCACUAUCUGGUAGUCACUUCAGAUUGAUUAAUGAGUUGAUUAUUUAGGGCUGAACGCUUGUUAAAACCACUGGGCCGCAAGGCAGCGUGUUAAACCGUGCAGCUGUGAAACUGCAAUAUAAUCCACGAGCUGAUAAAAUCUGGAAAUAUUUAAUCUGUCUAUUAUUUAAAAAUUAUUAUUCAGCAUUCAUAAGUAGAGGGUGAAUCUGAUUGUUAGUUGAUGUCAUCAAACACCUAUGUUCUGUCUCUUGUUCUGCACAACAUCCUCAGGUCACAAUAUAGAAUCAGUUGUCACUUGUAGGCACAGCAACAGCUGGCCAGAGAAGAGAGACACAUCCUUCCAGGCAGAGCUUUGUAAUGAGAAGAAAACCUUUCUCAGAAGUGCUCAAGAUGCCUGUCUUCAGCCCAUGUUAUUUGUGUUGGAUUUUGAAGGAAGUUGCAGCCGUGAAAUGAGAAAAUAAGAUACAGGGAAGAUAAAUGAUCAAAAAUCACGAACAGAAAUAAUGAAAGAUUUCUUGACACUCCAGUUCAGAGUUAACUACAACAGAUUUUACCUCCCCCAAGACCACGUCUUUCUUCCUGGAACAGUUUGGAACAGAUCAGUGAAAGGUCAUAACACGUAGAUAAACAUGUUCACAGAAUAGUUCAUCAAAAGUGGAUUCUAUGAAAAUCGAAUACUUGACUUUGCCUGAAGCAAAGUGGAGCAUUAUUUUACAUUAGUCAGAACUAUCAGGCUGGUAAUUUGGAAAUUAUACACACACUGUUGAAAGAAUGUCUAAAUCUGAAUGGAAUUUCUAAGCUCUUAGCUCAAGAUUUGAUUAAUUAAAAAGCAAGAAAUGGAUGCAUUGACUGUGUUUACAAGUGAUAUGUCCUGGUUUUAUCCUUUAUCUGUUCUCAUCUUUGAGGGUUUCCAUUAAGGUCGUCAAGUUUUGAAUAAGCCUGACAAGCAUUCAACAGCUUUCAGCAGUGGCAAAGGCUGUUUAUAGAGGGG
rnacentral:lncRNA from 13 species